GCUAAAUGCGUGGUAGGAGCGGUGGUAAUUCGAAGGUUUGAAGCGUUAAGCGGAGUUACGGGGCGUAAAGGGUGCGUAGGCGGUUAUUUAAGUCAGCCGUUGAGUCCCCGGGCUCAACCUGGGAAUGGCGGUGGAUACUGGAUAGCUAGAGUGUGUCAGAGGAUGGUGGAAUUCCCGGUGUAGCGGUGAAAUGCGUAGAGAUCGGGAGGAACAUCAGUGGCGAAGGCGGCCAUCUGGGACAACACUGACGCUGAAGCACGAAAGCGUGGGGAGCAAACAGGAUUAGAUACCCCUGUAGUC
rnacentral:rRNA from 1 species